rnacentral:lncRNA from 1 species
CGUCGAAGAGGUUCUGGUACGCGUUGCCGUCGUCGUCCUGCACGACGGUCCCCGGCGACGUGAAGAGCGCGUAGCUGAGGGCGAUCUGGGCCUCGUUGCCCGUGUAGGAGAAGUAGGGGUAGACGUUGCAGAGCAGCGGGGCCCCCGUGCUCUGCAGGUACUGCGCGAUGGGCCCCAUGUAACCCUGCGAGAAGCUGCCCUGCGACGGCGGGAAGCCCUGGGUGACGCCGCUCUCCACCGCCGUGGACACCUUGAUGCCUCCGAGCCCGGCGUUGGCGAGCGCGGAGUUGACGUUCUGCAUGGCGGGGAGGAUGCUGUUGGUGUCCCCGCCGGAGACCUCGUUGCCGACGGCGAUGUACUUGAAGUUGACCCCCGGGAACGCCUGCAAGUUCCUCUGCACCCACGUCGCCGCCGCGCUCGGGUCGGAGGCCAGCGAGGAGAGGUCCGAGUUGGGCACGUCCAUGAUCACGCCGAUGUUGCUGCCGCUCAGCGCGUUCAGCGCGUUGGUGUCCGGGAAGUAGAUGCGCAUGAGGUUGAUGCCGUUGGACUGGUAGAGCUGCACCACGUCGCUCGCCGGCGGCAGGUUGUCGCCGUUCACGCCGUAGCACACGCCGAUGGAUUUGACUCCUGUACGUACGUACAUAAGUGUCAAUAAUGCAUGCAUAUCAGCAUAUCGCGGUGAUCAGCAUUGCACCUAGCUAGAGUAAUGUAUGAUGCGUGAUGCAUGAAAAUCUGAUCUGACCUGUAGGAGUGGCUGGAAAUGCUCGGAGCAGCAAUGCCAGUGCAAGCAUGGAAGCUACAAGAAGCAAUGCCAGUGCAAGCAUGGAAGCGACAACCUGCUUCGACAUCUUGGAAGGAUCAGGAUCAGGAUCAGGAUCAGUUGCGCUACUCCUAUAUGUUUGCAGCAGCUACAGACAGGUAACUGUAACCGAUGCUACACUGGACUGCACUCCACUGCAUGCAAUUCACCGAGGCAUCGAGGCAUAUUUAUAUAGCUAGCUAGCUAGGCAGGGGCACGGCGGAGGCAAAUUCUGAGAGAUGUGCCGUCUCUCUGAUCGCCCAGUUUUAGCGGCACCAAUGCAAUACCUCGUUCCGUUAACAGCUUACACCGGAAGCCGCCGAGACGUACUGAUCUUGCCGCGGCAGCGACAGAUGAAGACGUAGACCUGACCUCGUCGCGAGCAAGCAUGUUGGGUGUUGGCUUUCUCAAAUCUGCGGUUGGACUUCGACGUCAUCGAGCACUCAGGAGCUACCGCAACGCGGGCUCGGCGUGGCGAUGCUCGAGCGGUUCUGUUGCAGGGGCGCGCGACCACCUGCUCGAGCUGUUCGCUGUGGUCCAGGAUGGUGAAUUUGUGAUAGAGAUGUCAACUCUGCUAAUUAAUGGGUUUUCUUCUUGAAAUAAUCUCUAGUAAAACUCCAAAUCAACCCCCAAAUGCAUAGACAUCAAUCUUUCUUUGUUGACCUUCCUGUAUGAAAAAUAUUCAGAACCCAAGUACCUCGACAGUAGCAGUUUUUCAUAUCUGAUGUAACUGUGAGUUAAUAUACUAGCUAACUGCUAACCAAAGUCUUGAGAUGAUACAGAGUCACAGAUCCAAAAGGUUCCAGUGAUGUCGGUACAUGUUAGCAAAGGAAGUUGAAACUGACACUUGCUUUGCUAACCCAAAAUCACACGACUGAAUGAAAUUUCCACUAGGUAACAAUGUCACAAAGGAUCAACAUCGGCAAAAGUGAUGUUACAAAUGGUUUCCCAAUCGCAUUACUGCUUCCGUGUCAAGCUGAAUAAGAACUUGUGAUCACUCUGUAGUUGACAUGUCGUAUCACCUGUGAAUUUGUGAUCACUGCCCUACGAAUAUAGGCCUUGUUUAGUUCACCCUGAAAACCAAAAAGUUUUCAAGAUUUCCCGUCACAUCGAAUCUUCUAGCACAUGCAUGAAACAUUAAAUAUAGACGAAAACAAAAACUAAUUACACAGUUUAGUUGUAAAUCAUGAAACGAAUCUUUUGAUCCUAGUUAGUCCAUAAUUGGAUAAUAUUUGUCACAAUCAAACGAAAGUGCUAUAGUACCGAAAACUUUUCACUCUUCGGAACUAAACAAGGCAAUAAAUUAUAUUCCUUUACCCAAUGCAGACUUUGAACACCAGAUAAUCCAUUUCAACGGGUGGAGGUGGAUGAUGCAGACUGGGCCUGGUGGCGGCAAAUUCACUAGGGCCAGUAGCGCGCUGGGUGGCCCUGUGUCCUGGCAGCGUCAUCCCCGUUCACGGCGGACAGCUAGAGCAGCGGGGCGCCCUCGCGAUAUGGAGCCGCUCGAGCUCUGCCAUGUCGUCGAGACCGUGCUGUGGCGUCUUCUUGUGUCGACAUCGCAGCUGAUGCUGGCAUGAGCUAGCGCCCUAUGAAUGUCAUGAUCUGCCGGCCUCGUUUUCGCACACAUCUUUAGGUGGCUUCUGACGAAAGAAAACGCUUUGCCGUUCACGACUAACCUGAAAUUAAUCACUUUAUAGAGAGAUUGAGAGGAAAACACUGUUUAGAAUUAAACUGCCAAAUUAAGGAGUCUUCUUCGUCAAACAAACUGUAGAGGCUAACUAAAUUACUUCUAACUAGAGGUUCAUCAACCAGUUAUCAACACACCUUCUGACUUUCCACCCCCAAAGAUUAGCCACCGUUUCCGACUUUCCAUGGACCAGAAUAUAAAUUUCCCAAAAAUGUAUAGCUCAACUAGAGUUUCCCAACCAGUUAUCCUUUAAAAACUUAAUCUUCUUCUUGUUACCUAUUUCCUGUCUGAACUCCAUUUUCGCAGCAGAGGCUGCCCACAGCAAGCCUUUAAAAAAUGGUGAAGUCAUGCACUCGUGCUAGCAGUAUUGUAUUUAUAGUCAACAACAAUACAACAUGGCUACUUAACUUACUCCACAAGGCUAACAGACACUUCUUUAAAUCUCUCAAAUUUGGUACCAAGCCGCCCAAAAUCUUUGAACAUACUACUAACACUCUCCCAAUUUGCAAGAUGAUAUGUUCUAAUUUUGAACCGAAUUUUAAUUGAUUAUAAUGAGAUAUUACUCCCAUUUAAUAAUGAUCGAUGCACAUAAUGUCGAGACGAAAUUAGGAGAAAGCAUAUAACUACAUGGGCAAAGAAGAAAUAAAUCAAGAAUGUACUUCUUGUUAUUCAUUUUUAUGUAAUAAUCGAAGCACUUGCCUUACAUGGAUGCACUUUGCAUUUUACAGGCAGUUUAUUCAAUGUUUUGGUAUGUAGUAUAUAAGGUAUAUAUGUGUAUCUGUAUGGUAUCUCGUAUAGUUAAAUUUUAUGUCUUGUUCGAUCGUGUAUAUAUGGACCGGGCCGCGCGAGCGUCCCACUUGGUUGGUUUUUAGGAGAAAUUGAUGGAGUACGCCGGCGAUUUGUCCGGGUUGAAGAGUCCGAAGUGCCUCUCCGUCUCGGCUCCCGUCUUCUUGUCCUCGUUGAACAUGGCGAAGAUGUAGGUCUCGAUGGCGCCGGGGCGCUUGGGCGUGCCCUUCCCGACAUGGUUGAUGAGGUUCUGGUUGUAGGUCUGCGCGUUCCCCGGCGUGGCGGCGUCGCCGCCGGCGGACGGCCAGCCGCUCUCGGACACGACGACGCCGACGUUCCCGGCGCCGGCGUUCUCGAGCGCGGACACGAAGGUGUCGACGAGCGCGUCGAAGAGGUUCUGGUACGCGUUGCUGCCGUCCUGCACGACGGUCCCCGGCGACGUGAAGAGCGCGUAGCUGAGGGCGAUCUGGGCCUCGUUGCCCGUGUAGGAGAAGUAGGGGUAGACGUUGCAGAGCAGCGGGGCCCCCGUGCUCUGCAGGUACUGCGCGAUGGGCGCCAUGUAGCUCUGCGAGAAGCUGCCCUGCGACGGCGGGUACCCCUGCGUGACGCCGCUCUGCACCGCCGUGGACACCUUGAUCUUUCCCAGCCCGGCGUUGGACAGCGCCGAGUUGACGUUCUUCAUGGCGGGGAGGAUGUUGUUGGUGUCCCCGCCGGAGACCUCGUUGCCGACGGCGAUGUACUUGAAGUUGACCCCCGGGAACGCCUGCACGUUGCUCUUCACCCACGUCGCCGCCGCGCUCGGGUCGGAGGCCAGCGAGGAGAGGUCCGUGUUGGGCACGUCCAUGAUCACCCCGAUGUUGCUGCCGCUCAGCGCGUUGAGCGCGUUGGUGUCCGCGAAGUAGAUGCGCAUCAGGUUGAUGCCGUUGGACUGGUACAGUUUCACCACGUCGCUCGCCGACGGCAGGUUGUCGCCGUUCACGCCGUAGCACACCCCGAUGGCUUGCACUCCUGUACGUCAGUGUCAGUCAUGUACGCACAUCGAUUAAUUAUAACGACAUUGCACUGAGAUCGACUAGUAAUACUCCAAUGAUGAUGCAUGCAAUGCCAUAAAUAUAUACAAAUGGGUAGGGUACUACGUAUGAACAACGUAUCUUAAUCACCUGUAG